rnacentral:lncRNA from 1 species
GGAAAGAGCAAGUGUGAUCAUCGGGAGGACGGACUGGGACUGCGGGGUUGCUCUUCACUCAGGAAUACAGAGGCCAUCAUGCUGGUAAGAGACAUUUAAGUUUUGGGGGCUUUUGAGCAGCAGAGGUGGGAGAACACAUUGGUUCAUUUGCUUAUUCUGAGCCGUUUGUUUAAGCACUCCAGUAGUCUCACUUUUAACCUGCUGAAACACUCCAGUCAUGACCAAACUAACUAUUGAAGUGCCAGCCAGUGUUGUUGAAGGGCACAACAUUCUUCUACAUGUUCACAAUAAAUCACAGAAUUGGCAAGUCUUUUCCCAGUACAAAUGUUUUGAUUCCAAAG